GGCUCAGGACGAACGCUGGCGGCGUGCUUAACACAUGCAAGUCGAACGGAACUCUUUGGAUCGAGACUUCGGUCAAGUGAAUCUGAGUUUAGUGGCGGACGGGUGAGUAACGCGUGAGGAACCUGCCUUUCAGAGGGGGACAACAGUUGGAAACGACUGCUAAUACCGCAUAACGUGCCUGGGAGGCAUCUCCUGGGUACCAAAGAUUUAUCGCUGAUAGAUGGGCUCGCGUCUGAUUAGAUAGUUGGCGGGGUAACGGCCCACCAAGUCGACGAUCAGUAGCCGGACUGAGAGGUUGAACGGCCACAUUGGGACUGAGACACGGCCCAGACUCCUACGGGAGGCAGCAGUGGGGGAUAUUGGACAAUGGGGGCAACCCUGAUCCAGCGACGCCGCGUGAGGGAAGAAGGUUUUCGGAUUGUAAACCUCUGUCAACAGGGAAAAUGAUGAUGGUACCUGUGGAGGAAGCCACGGCUAACUACGUG
rnacentral:rRNA from 1 species